rnacentral:misc_RNA from 1 species
CAGAGUUCUUGCCCUUACGGGUAGAUCUCCCACCCUUGAAUACAUACCUUUGUUGCUUUGGCGGGCCGCGCUUGCGCUACUGGCUUCGGCUAGUACGUGCCCGCCAGAGGACCACAACUCUUGUUUUUAGUGAUGUCUGAGUACUAUAUAAUAGUUA